rnacentral:rRNA from 1 species
UACGGAGGGUGCAAGCGUUAAUCGGAAUUACUGGGCGUAAAGCGCACGUUGGUGGCUUUCUAAGCCAGCUGUGAAAUCCCCGGGCUCAACCUGGGACUUGCAGUUGGAACUGGAAAGCUAGAGUAGGGUAGAGGGGUGUGGAAUUCCAGGUGUAGCGGUGAAAUGCGUAGAUAUCUGGAGGAACAUCAGUGGCGAAGGCGACACCCUGGACUCAUACUGACACUGAGGUGCGAAAGCGUGGGGAGCAAACAGG